rnacentral:lncRNA from 1 species
CCCCUAAGCUGUGAGACUAGGCUGAAGCCUGAAGACUGGCGUUCUCGACCCACCCCCAGAGACACCCCAGCAAGUUCAGUCUUCAUGAGAUUCAAAUUCCAUGGCUAACAGUAGGGAUUAUUCCCACCCAUCAGAGAAGCUAGCAUACAAUGCCCUGUUCUCAAGACUUCAACCAACCUUGAAUAUCUACUAAGUAAAUUCCCAUUGUUCAAAUACUGUCAACAUACAAACUUACAAAAAUGCAAACUACAGCAAACUGUAAGUAUUUUCUGCAGAAGAAACAUUUCGUUGACAGCUAUACUGACAGAGUAGAGCACAUAUUUCUUUUUACUUUAUCUUUACUUUUAUUUUCACACUUGACUGAGAUCUGGUCAGAACACAUUGCUCUUGGACCUGGAGUUGAAUUGGCUGUUCAUCCCACAACUCAAAGAGUUAUCCUUGGCCUGUUACUGAAGAAAGAAUCACCCUGAGUCGACAUCCUUGUGGAAUGACUGACUCACUAUCCCAUGCCAACAAGCAGCAGUUGGGAAGCUGGGCUAGGUGGAUGACUGCAAGUUUGAGACCAGCUUGAGCUAUGGAGUGAAUUCCAGAUUGCCUAGAGAUAUGGAGACUCUAAAUCUCAUCAACAGCCAAGAGGACCAUCACACCUUCCAAAGGUUUCAUGGCUUUCCAGUCUCAUAACAAACUAGUAACUAAGCAUUUAGCAGAUGGGCUGUGGGACACAUGAAUGCUCAAACCCAUAUAUAUAUAUAUAUGGUAUACAGGCCUAAUAUAUCUACAUAUCUGUAUUUAAAUAUAUAUAUUUAUGGCCUCUUCAUUGUAAUGAACUGCCUAAAUAUUUGAAGAUUUCUCCUUUCAAUAAAGUGAAAGAUUUG